GCGGGUUUAGCUCAGUUGGGAGAGCGUCAGACUGAAGUUAACUUCGGGAAGUCAAUCUGAAGGUCGUGUGUUCGAUCCACACAAACCGCA
rnacentral:tRNA from 1 species